CAAACCCAGCUAACUGGUUUUCCGUACAGUAAACAGCCUGGUUCCUAAUGAUUUACUUAUUCUGCAGCUAUGUAGCAGUGUGGGGUUUGGAUUUGCUUCUGAAGAGGAGCUGAGUGCUACAAGAAAGCAAAAGCUGCAGGUCACUGCCCCAAAAGCUUCCUGCUGGACUAGGGAGUUAUCUAAAUGGAAUGCUCAAACAGAGCUGAGAGGAGCAAACCAGAGUAUUGGUUUUUCUGAGCUCACACAGAAAUGCUGCAAGAUCCCACCUUCAGAUGCCAGCCUGUGCCUUUCCCCAGGCUCCCCCUUUCAGGUGUCUGCUCAUGCUUCAUCUGUCACCCCUGAGCACAUGAAAGAAAAAUGCUGCUGAGAGGUGAACAGAUGGCUUCUGUGUGUGUGACUGUGUAAGGAAACCCAUUUCUGCAAACAGGGGAUGUCAGGUG